AGAGCGAACGCUGGCGGCAGGCCUAACACAUGCAAGUCGAGCGCGUGUAGCAAUACACGAGCGGCAGACGGGAGAGUAACACGUGGGAACGCGCCCUUCGGUUCGGAAUAACUCAGGGAAACUUGAGCUAAUACCGGAUACGCCCUUACGGGGAAAGAUUUAUUGCCGAAGGAACGGCCCGCGUCCGAUUAGCUAGUUGGUGAGGUAACGGCUCACCAAGGCGACGAUCGGUAGCUGGUCUGAGAGGAUGACCAGCCUCACUGGGACUGAGACACGGCCCAGACUCCUACGGGAGGCAGCAGUGGGGAAUAUUGGACAAUGGGCGCAAGCCUGAUCCAGCCAUGCCGCGUGGAUGAUGAAGGCCUUAGGGUUGUAAAGUCCGUUUUAACGGGGAAGAUAAUGACGGUACCCGUAGAAUAAGCCCCGGCUAACUUCGUGCCAGCAGCCGC
rnacentral:rRNA from 1 species